rnacentral:rRNA from 1 species
UACAGAGGGUGCGAGCGUUGUUCGGAAUUAUUGGGCGUAAAGGGCGCGUAGGCGGUGCGGUAAGUCACCUGUGAAAUCUCCUGGCUCAACUGGGAGCUUGCAGGCGAAACUGCCGUGCUGGAGUGUGGGAGAGGUGAGUGGAAUUCCCGGUGUAGCGGUGAAAUGCGUAGAGAUCAGGCAGAACACCUGGGGCGAAGGCGGCCAGCUGGGCCGUCCCUGACGCUGAGGCGCGAAGGCGUGGGGAGCGAACGGG